rnacentral:rRNA from 1 species
GACGAACGCUGGCGGCGUGCCUAAUACAUGCAAGUAGAACGCUGAAGAGAGGAGCUUGCUCUUCUUGGAUGAGUUGCGAACGGGUGAGUAACGCGUAGGUAACCUGCCUGGUAGCGGGGGAUAACUAUUGGAAACGAUAGCUAAUACCGCAUAAAAUUGAUUAUUGCAUGAUAGUCAAUUAAAAGGUGCAAUUGCAUCACUACCAGAUGGACCUGCGUUGUAUUAGCUAGUUGGUGAGGUAACGGCUCACCAAGGCAACGAUACAUAGCCGACCUGAGAGGGUGAUCGGCCACACUGGGACUGAGACACGGCCCAGACUCCUACGGGAGGCAGCAGUAGGGAAUCUUCGGCAAUGGACGGAAGUCUGACCGAGCAACGCCGCGUGAGUGAAGAAGGUUUUCGGAUCGUAAAGCUCUGUUGUAAGAGAAGAACGAGUGUGAGAGUGGAAAUUUCACACU